rnacentral:pre_miRNA from 1 species
AAAAAGACAAACCCUGAUUUCCGUAUCCAAUGUUUAACUGUUCGUUUUAUUUAAAAAAAUUAUAAAAAAAAUUAAAAAGACAAGUCACGUAUAAAAUAUUAAUCAUAUUUUAUCAUCUAACAAUAAUAAAAAUACGAAUUAUAAAAAAAUUUCAUAUAAGACGGACAGUUAAAGUUGGACACGGAAAUUCAGGGUUUGCCUUUUU